GUUAAUUGAGAUAGUUUAAGGUAUUUGUAAGUAGUUUUAUAAAUGUGAUAUGAGUAUUUUGUUUUGUAAAUGAGUAGUAAGUAUGUUAAGAAUGGUUCUAAAAUGUAUAUGGAUGCCGUAUGAUUGUGUUUGAUUGGGAAGUAAAUUGUUUGAUGUAGCUCAAGAGCUUAGAGGAUCAAAGUUGGAUAAGGGAAAGGAAAAAGUGGUCGAAUAGCCGUUGAAAUCGUUCGACAACAUCCGAGGUAAGUUUUCGAGUAAUGAAACUUAGUUUAUGAUUUGAUUAAGUCAUGACAUAUAAGCAUAACAAAUAAACGGUGAUAUAAUGAUUCUACUUGAAUUGUAUAUUGAGGUGAUUAGUUUAUACCUAUGACGGGUAGCCGAAUGUGUAUAGAGAUCAUGUUAUAAAGCAAAUCAAAAUCAUGCUCUUUGUAUGUGGCUAUUGAGCCGAAAAUGGUAAUGGUUGAUAAGCGUCUUGUGUUUGAAUUCUAGUUAUGAUAAUGAAAUAUGGAUGUGUCAUGAUUUAUUGGUAUAUGUGCUUGAUUAUUCGGAUGAUAUCCGGGCUAAGUCCCGAAGGCAUUUGUGCAAGUUACUAUAUCCGGGCUAAGUCCCGAAGGCAUUUGUGCGAGUAGUUGCUAUACCCGGGCUAAGUCCCGAAGGCAUUUGUGCUAGUGACUACAUCCGGGCUAAGUCCCGAAGGCAUUCAUGCUAGUGACUAUAUCCGGGCUAAGACCCGAAGGCAUUUGUGCGAGUUGCUAUAUCCGGCUAAAUCCCGAAGAUACUUGGGUUGGGAAGCGAGUGAUCUUGCUGUAAUAAUUUCAAUUAAUACGCUCAUAAAAUACAAACGAUGAGGUAUGUUUCGUAUAUGCAUCGGAAUGGUUGAUUCUUUUCAAAUAGUACUCGCUCAAUUGAUUAACGAGCUUCCGGCCUCUAGUUAGGUUUGAUACCCUGUGUAUGAAUAUAUUGGUUGAAGCGUGAAGAAAUUAUGAUUUUGAGAAUGUGCAUAUAUGAAAUUAUUCAUUUAGUCAUAUGAAUGCUAUACUUUAGUCGUAAAUAAUUUCGUUACUCAAAACUUACUAAGCAUUAAAUGCUUAUUCCAUUUCUUUAAUUCUCUGUUUUAUAGAUUUUUGUUCGUCAGCUAUCGGACUCGGGAUUGUCGAAGUCGAAGUCGUCCACACUAUCUAAGCCCUUUUGGUACUCUUUUAGUUAAACGUUGAUAAUGGCAUGUAUAGGACUAACCUUUGUUGUUAAUCAAGUACCUUUGGUAAUGUGUAUAUAUUCGGAUAGCCAUGCGAAAAUGGCUUAAAUAUUUUGAGCAUAGUAUUAAAAUCAUUUUGUAUAUAUAUGGUUAUUAAGAGGUGUGGAAAUGCUUGGAAAUGAUUAGCCAUUGGAAUGGUUAAUCACGAUCAUAUUUGGUGCUAUGCAUGUCAAAUGGCUAGUUGAAUCAUGGAAACUAUGAAAUAGGUGAAAUUUACCUUAAAAUAGAUGCUGACAGCAGCAGUGAUAUGAGUUUGAAAAUUCACUAAAAAUAGUAGAAAUGUAAUUAAAUAAUGAAUAAAUUAUUUAAUCGAACCUUGAUGAGUCUAUUUUCAUAUGGAAGAAGCAAAACGACCAUAUGAGCCGUAUUUUAUGAGAUGUUUAAGUUUUCGUGAAACAGGGCUAGAACGGUUACUGGAUCCCCUGUUCUGAAUUUGGAAAUUUACCAUAAAUUAACCAGAAAUAAUUAGAAGUCAUGCUUUAUAUGUACAGAUUCCUUUUUGAGUCUAGGUUCAUUAGAAACAAACGAAAUAUGUAUUGAAGCCCUGUACAGGGAGAUAUCUAAGUCGUAAUGCAUGAAGGUCAGAGUAGUUGAACCCUGAAACAGGGAAGACUUUAACUAAUAAACUGUACUAAUUGGCCCAAUCAAAAAUUCUAGAAAAAAAUAUGUAGAUGGAUAUAUGAGUCUAGUUUCAGGGAAAAUUUACGGAAUCAGUUUUCGAGUUUUGGAACUCGAGAUAUGAUUUUUAAGGUGACAGUGACGCAGUUAGCCAGCUUGGCUGGAAAUUUUAAAAUGAACUGUGUAAAUAAAUGAAUUAAGUUCGUUAACACCUCGUGUUUGACUCCGGCAACGGUCUCGGGUGCAGGGCGUUACAAGAUCAACCUCAAUAUAAUACUGUAAUACCUUCGUAACUAUGAAUAAAUAAUAUUCACUAAUUCUAUAUUGGAAAAAAAACAUUCCGAAACUACCUUUUCCAACUCCACUGACUUUUGGGUCGUUACAUAAUGUUUCAUCUUAGAUUCUAAGACGAAUUUCUCCUAUUUAUCAAGUCACUCUUAAAAAUUUUGCAUUUUUUAAUUUCACAAUUCUAGCACUAUGGGAUGGAUAGUUAAAUUUGUACCCUUUUGACCUUUCAACAUAUCCAAUGAAAUACCCAUUUAUAGUCAUUAGAUCUAGUUUCUUUUCUUGUGGAUUAUAAACUCUUACUUUAGAAGGGUAUCCUCAAAUGUGCAUAUGUCACAAACUUAAUUUUCAAUCUUUCUAAAUUUUAAAUGGCAUUUUAAAAACCACUUUGGUUAAAACUCGAUUUAAUAUGCAUUAUUGUUUUAAGAGCUUUUGUCCAAAACAAUAAUGAAGUUUUGAAUUGUUGAGUUGUUGAGUUUUAAUAUGGACUCAGCUCUUGCCCACUCCUUGUGUAUCCACUACAAGAAAACAGACUUUUAGCGACAUUUUUAGCGGCGUUUGAAUGAAAAAUGUCGCUAAAGAUCGAGUAUUAGCGGUGUUUUUAAAAUAUGUAUGGUUAAAUCAAAAUUAAAGUUUCAACUAUACAUUUAAACCACAAUUAGAAUUUCAAGUCUACAAUUACACAUUAAACCGAAAUUCAUAUAUAAUUCUGAAAUAUAUCGCUGUCAAAAUUUAGGCGUAUACAUAUAAUUAAAUGCCAUUUAUAUAAAAAUCUAAACAACUAAUGCGAACUAUACUUAAAAGAAUAAUACUUGUAUUGCUGUGUCAUUUUGUAUUUUUUUUAAUUCAUCGAUUCUAUUUUAUUUCUGUUAAAGUUUUCUUUUGUAUUUUAUAUGUUAAUUUAAAAAUUAUAAAAAUCUCCAAAAUAAAAUUUAAAAUUUAAAAAUAAAAAAUAAAAACUUAAAAACUUAAUAUUUAAUAUUUUAGUCCAUAUUUCAGUUAAAAAGUUUAAUAUUUAAAAUUAAAAAAAAAAUUUUGAAAAAAAAUAGAAAAAAAUAUUUUAAAAAUGAAAAAAAAUCAAAAUUGAGUAAUACAAAAAGUUGAACUAUAGUGUCGUUUUUACUAAAAACGCCACAAAAAACCAUUAUUUUUAUACCAAAAAAUAAAAAACGGGAAAUCAAAAUCCCGCUCACAACCUAUUUUUUUUGGUUACCCGCUCGUUACUCCCUCUUCUUCUCAUCUUCUUCUCAUAUCCUUUUACUCUCAAAAUUUGCCCCCAAAUUUCCCAUUUCCAGCAACAUCAAGUCAAUACACCUACAUCACACUUCUUUUUCCUUUUCAUUCCACUGCACUGAAUUCACCCACCAUAGCUACUUCUUUUCAUUUUUGCAUUGAAUUCACUUUCCCACUCUUCGAUUUAGAGCUUUCAAUCAAAAUUACUUAAAUAAAAAGCCAAAUUUCGUAUCCCUAAUUUAAAGAAAAAUUUUAAUUAUUUUCUUAAAAAAAAGUAUAGCCUCCGCCAUCGAAUCUUGUUUGUGAUUCAUUGAAGGUAUAUUAUUUCUAUAUACUCAAAUUCAUUGAUUACAAGCUCUAGGGUUUUUUGUUUUUAAAAAAUUGUUCACUGUUUUUUUUUUUAAAUUUUGUUUGAUUGAAAUUUCAGUUUAUUUUAUGAUAUUCAUCUUGGUUUAGUUUUUAGGGUUUUUCUGCGAUUUUUUUUUCUUGCAAGGCUGGUAUGUCUUUUUCUUACUCUUCCUUCGCUUUUGUGCUUAAGGAUCUUCUUUUUUCUCCUUUCUUUUUGCUUAUUAUGUUUAACUUAAAUUGGAAAGUUCUAGCCUUUAGGGUUUAGUAUUGAAAAAAUUUAAUUCUGUGAUCAAGCUCAAAAGAAACUAGAAAGUAAAAGGGAAAACUUUAUAAGAGAAUGGACUAAGAAAAAAGUUUAUUGUGAUGAAGGGUCUGCUUGUUUAUGAUACAAGGAAUUUGAUAGCAUUAAAAAAAACAUUUAGUCUAAGUUGAUCUCAUUGUAGAUUAUCAACUUUGUCAUGUUACCCUACUCCCCCCCCCCCCCCCUUUUUUUUAGAUAUUUAAAUUGUUUCAUUUUGAUUAUACUUUAGCACUCUCAUGGAAGGUCAAGGAUUUAGUAUAACUGUAUGUUGCAUGAGUAUAUUUCUUUCAUUUAUAUUGAUAUAUAUAUGCAUCCUAAAUAGCACUUACAUUUUAGAUUAGAUAAGCAUUAUGGAUGUACAAAUUUAUGUGUGAUUUAUAUUUCUCAUGUUCUGCCUGUUUUAUCAUAAAUUAUUGAUGUACUUGUUUAAUAUGGAUCAGUUUUAUGAAGUUGAGACUAGAUUGUCUGUGAAGAGGUGUAGAGCAAAAAACUUAUAUUGAUCAGUUAAAAAAUGAUAAUCAUGGAGGACAUGGUUACCAUCAUGAUUUGGACAGUUGUUUAAGUUUGCUUUAGAAAUGCUAGCCAGGCAUUCUUUUAAAUGAAAAAAGCUCUCUCUUUGAUACUGUUGUUGCAUAGGAGUCUUUUAUUAAUCUAAUUCCAUUGUUGAAUUUUCAUGUAAAGUUCUUGAAUGUUUCUGUUCGAGCCUAUGCUAGAAGACUGCUAGCACAUUUGAUUGAUGAAUCCUGCUACAACAUGUGCUUAGCUGUCAACUUGUAUUUCAGUGUUUAAGGGCGUUCCUCAUUUCAUGUUUCAGAAGCUUGACAUUCCUCGAGUUAAAGAGCCCUUUUCCACUUAAUUAUUAAAUUAAUUUUAUAUCUUUUAGAAGGAAACAGGUCAUGCGUAUGAGUUUCUAGAAUGUUGGCAUGUGGAAAUUCAUUUGUAGUUAUGGAUAACACUAUAGUUUCCUGGUGACAGACUUGGACCAUUAGCUCAUUACGUACUUGGUGUAUGUUUAAUCCUUUUAGCUUGCUAUCAAGUGAUGUUAGGCUUGGAUUAAUAGCUAAACCUGAAGAACUGGUGUCUGUUGGCCACUUUUUGGCAUUUUUAACUGAUAGUCCUUAAUGAAGGAAUUCAUACGGUCCUACUCUUCAAGGGUUCAUUGGAAACCUUUUAAUAAAAUCUAUUAUACAUAUGAAGGAUUAUACUAUAGAAUGUCAAACAUAUAUCACAUAUACCAAACACAAGUACUUUAUAUACAUGACAAAGAAAGUUUAUGCAUUUUUCAGUUUGAGUUUCAUUUUUUUAUCUAAUGAAUUUGAAUGUGGCAAUUAAAUUUGUGUGUUUUAUAGGCUCGUGUUUUGAAGGAGAAUGGGAACUUAUUGGAAUUGGUUGAUACAAGGAUUGGCUCAGAUUGCAACAUAGAUGAAGUGAUGGAUAUGAUCAACAUUGCACUAUUGUGAACUAUGAUUCUAUCAGAUAAAACAAGGUAAAUUAUUUAAUAUAUAUAAUUUUUCAUGAUGAGGUGAUGUGUGCACCCUCAUGAAUCAAGGUGAGAUAGUUAGUGAAGCCAGCUCUGUAUUUUUACGAUCAUUUAUUUUCUUUUCCAUAUUUGUUUAAUUUGUUCUAAUUUGAUAAUGUAAGGUUUCAAAAACUUUUCUAGCACUUACACUCUGAUUUGUGUGUGUGCACAUAUCUAUGGUAAAUGAUACAUGAUGUGGCUGUUUUUCUACUUGCACUCCAUAAAAGAUUUAUGGCAUAGGCUGUUGAAGGUGAUGAAUACCAUUUUAGUUCCAUGGCCAGUGAUAUUUCUUUAUAACUAUUGGGGAUUACUUUACGACUUAAUUUUAAACUACUGCUUCUAGUUGUACUUUUACAUGUGCAUUAUGCAUAAAAAAGCAUGAAUUUUGAAGUAGUAUUCAGUGGAUUUGGGAUAUAAUACAAAAUUUUGGGUUUUUUUUUUCUUUCAAAAUGUUCUUAUUUUUUAUUGGGGGUGAUGUAUAGGUACUGAAGCAGCACCAAGAAAGAACAUAUAUGUUCUUUUACAGGGAAACUGGACCUGGGAACAUGCAAAACUUAAAGCUAGAAUGCAAACUUUACAAAGAAACCUGAGGUACCCUCCAAUGUCUUCAAAUUUCAGACACAUUCAAGGCAUGCAUCUUUCUCUUUUAAUAAAUAAUUAAUUAUAUUUCUAGGCAUUACGAAGGAGAAGAUAUCUAGAAUUUGAGUCUUAGAGAGCUUCAAAAUUUGGAGCAACAACUUAAUUCUGUCUUUAAACACAUAAGAUCCAAAAAGGUUUAAAUCACUCCAACAAUAUAUAUACUAAAACAUUAUUUUCCUUAGUGUAAAAGAUUUUCAUGAUUUAUAUUUUAAAUCACUCCUUGAUCACCAUGUUUGCCAAAGGUAAAGUCAUUGAUUAUAUACAUAAAUUCCUCAAAAGAUAAAAGAAUACCAAAAAUCUCAAUAUUCAGCUUGCUUUUUUCUUUUUCAUGUCAUGAACAGACAAGAAAUGUGAUGAAGAUGAUUAUAUUCUCACCUACCAGGACAAAGAAGGAGAAUGGCUGAUUGCAGGCGAUAUUCCAUGGCAGUAAGAAUAUUUUUCCUUCCUUUUCUUGGUUAAUGAAUCCUAAAAUUAUAUAUUAGUAGUAAAUGUUGCAAAUUGAAGUAUUUAGUUGCUGGAAAUUGAGAUGUUUUAUCAUUGCAAUUGAGGUGUAUAAAUGUUGUUUUGUUAAUUGAAAUGUUAAAGUGCUACAAAUUGAAGUGUUUUAAUGCUGUAAAUUAAAGUGUUAAAGUACUGCAAAUUGAAGUGUUUGAAUGCUGUAAAUUGAAGUGUUUAAAUAUUGUUAAUUGAAAUGUUAAAGUGCUGCAAAUUGAAGUGUUUUAAUGCUGUAAAUUGAAGUGUUAAAGUGCUGCAAAUUGAAGUGUUUGAAUGCUAUAAAUUGAAGUGUUUAAAUGUUGUUAAUUGAAAUGUUAAAGUGCUGCAAAUUGAAUAGUUUUAGUCCUGUAAAUUGAAGAGUUAAAGUGCUGCAAAUUGAAGUGUUUGAAUGCUAUAAAUUGAAGUGUUUAAAUACUGUAAAUUGAAGUGUUAAAGUGCUGCAAUUUGAAGUGUUUGAAUGCUGUAAAUUGAAGUGUUUAAAUGCUGUAAAUUGAAGUGCUUAAAUGUUGCAAAUUGAAGUGUUUUAAGUACUGCAAAUUGAAGUGUUUAGUUGCUGGACAUUGAGAUGUUUUAUCACUGUAAUUGAGGUGUAUAAAUGCUGUUAAUUGAGAUGUUAAAGUGGUGCAAAUUGAAGUGUUAAAGUGGUGCAAAUUGAAGU
rnacentral:lncRNA from 1 species